UAGGGAAUCUUCCGCAAUGGGCGAAAGCCUGACGGAGCAACGCCGCGUGAGUGAUGAAGGUCUUCGGAUCGUAAAACUCUGUUAUUAGGGAAGAACAAAUGUGUAAGUAACUAUGCACGUCUUGACGGUACUUAAUCAGAAAGCCACGGCUAACUACGUGCCAGCAGCCGCGGUAAUACGUAGGUGGCAAGCGUUAUCCGGAAUUAUUGGGCGUAAAGCGCGCGUAGGCGGUUUUUUAAGUCUGAAGUGAAAGGCAGUGGCUCAACCAUUGUAGGCUUUGGAAACUGUUUAACUUGAGUGCAGAAGGGGAGAGUGGAAUUCCAUGUGUAGCGGUGAAAUGCGUAGAUAUAUGGAGGAACACCAGUGGCGAAGGCGACUCUCUGGUCUGUAACUGACGCUGAGGCUCGAAAGCGUGGGUAGCAAACAGG
rnacentral:rRNA from 1 species